rnacentral:rRNA from 1 species
UAGAGUUUGAUCCUGGCUCAGAUUGAACGCUGGCGGCAGGCCUAACACAUGCAAGUCGAGCGGCAGCACAAGUGAGUUUACUCAUGAGGUGGCGAGCGGCGGACGGGUGGGUAAUGCCUAGGGAUCUGCCCAGUCGAGGGGGAUAACAGUUGGAAACGACUGCUAAUACCGCAUACGCCCUACGGGGGAAAGAGGGGGACUUUCGGGCCUCUCGCGAUUGGAUGAACCUAGGUGGGAUUAGCUAGUUGGUGAGGUAAUGGCUCACCAAGGCGACGAUCCCUAGCUGUUCUGAGAGGAUGAUCAGCCACACUGGGACUGAGACACGGCCCAGACUCCUACGGGGGCAGCAGUGGGGAAUAUUGCACAAUGGGGGAAACCCUGAUGCAGCCAUGCCGCGUGUGUGAAGAAGGCCUUCGGGUUGUAAAGCACUUUCAGUAGGGAGGAAAGGGUAAGUCCUAAUACGGCUUAUCUGUGACGUUACCUACAGAAGAAGGACCGGCUAACUCCGUGCCAGCAGCCGCGGUAAUACGGAGGGUCCGAGCGUUAAUCGGAAUUACUGGGCGUAAAGCGUGCGCAUGCGGUUUGUUAAGCGAGAUGUGAAAGCCCUGGGCUCAACCUAUGAAUCGCAUUUCGAACUGACCAACUAGGGUCUUGUAUAGGGGGGUAGAAUUCCACGUGUAGCGGUGAAAUGCGUAGAGAUCUGGAAGAAUACCGGUGGCGAAGGCGGCCGCCUGGACAAAGACUGACGCUCAUGCACUAAAGCGUGGGGAGCAACAGGAUAGAUACGCUGGUAGUCCACGCCGUAAACGAUGUCUACUCGGAGUUCGUGUCUGCAACACUCGGGCUCUCAAGCUCACCGCAUAAAGUACACCGCCUGGCGAGUACGGACUGC